GGGGUGGGGUAGGGUGCUAGGGUUAUGGGAUAUGGAGAGUGGAGGUGGGACAGGGACCAUGGGGUGGGACAGGGUACCCAUCGGUGUGCCACAGUCCCUGGGGUGCAGCAAAGGACCGUGCAGGUGCAACAGGUCCCUGAGGGUCAGCCAGUGUCCCCACAGCCAGGUUAGGGUCCCCAGGGGACCCCACACUAGGACAGGGGUCCCUGGAAUUGGAGGCUCCCCACGGUCAGGCAGGGUGGGACAGUGCCAUGGGGACAGGGGACAGCAGCACAGGAGCAGCAGGAUGGGGUGCAGGACGCAGCGAGGCGAGGGAUGCCCACGCAGGUGCUGUGUGGGCACCGAGCAUCGUGGCUCCAUCACGGAGCAAAGCCCCGGUGCAUCUCCUGGGGCUCAUCUCCAUGCACCAGCACGGCCCCCUCGGCCCCAGGGCGGCGCGAUGCUCCCAUGCCAGCAGGUUUCGGGGCCGUGCCUCGUCUCAGCCCCAAGGGAAGCAGCUGGGAAGUGGUCUUGGGGGGCAGAACUGGUUAACGCAACUAGUCACGCUCCAGCUAUUGUUCUCCGCUGGCAUUCAGCUUCGCAGACUUUCUGCUUCUAUUUCGGGCCUGCUGAAGGGCUCGUGUACCCAACAGCCUGCCUGUUUUUCUCCUAAUUAUUUCAGUCGGGCUAAAAAAAGACAUCACCUCCCUCUGCAAACCUUGCCUCCAUUGUUCGUGGCGGAGAAGAUAGAGGGUGAGAAGGAGAGGAGAAAAGUAUCGGCAGCGGUUCCCUCACGGUUAAAUGUGUCUUGGAGGAAAACAGGAGGCUGGCAGUGAUGGAAGAGGCACCAGAGCACCCACGGGGCUGGUUGUCCCAAAUCCUGCGUGGACGGGGCUAGUGGAGGAGCAGGGAAUCACCCUGGGUUCGGAAUGGGAAAUCCUGGGGCUGCCAGGAAGCAAUUGCAGCAUCCCACCUGAGGCUUGAGGAUGCUGCACGUUGCACCUGCCUGCGAUGGGCGAGGGUUGUGUCGGAGGGCUGAACGGCGCUGGGAAAAGCAAAGGGGAGAUGGAGAGGGUACGGCGGGGCCCCCGUGUGCUCCACUUGUACGGGGUCGGACCCGGGACCGGAGCUGGGAGCGCACAAACAGCUAUUAGUGGUCACGGGAGAGGAACACCCUGGCGGCACCUCCUCCCCAUCAGCUCAGCCGUGGCUUUGGCAGAGGCGCCGGUCUCGCCGAGGCGAUACCUCUGCUGCGUAAACACUUUCGGCGGCCUCGCUGCCCCUCCUGCCACUGCUGGCAGCAGCAUCGGGCCCAGAAAGCGCCGAUGUGGUGCUGGGCAAGCAGCUGCUGGGUUGUGAGCACCCGAGCCCUUCGGUUUCCUCACCCCUAUCCCAUGCCAGGCACCUCGGAAAGGUGGGACCAGGACCCCCAGGCAGAAAUUCGGAGCCGUGGCCGUGCUGGGGACAGCUUUGUGCUGCCCAAGAGCAGCUUUAGGGUUGGCUUUAAAAACGUUUGCUCUUGGUUUAAGUUUUCCCAGCUCUCGGAUGGGAUAGGUGGUAUUGCAGCAAGGCUCUGAAGCGAUAAAAAAAAAAAUCCCAGGCACGAGGGGAAACAUCUGGCAGGGCAGAGAGGCUGUAGGCCGUGCUUCUGACUCUCCCGGAAAAUUUUAAUCGGCGAAAAAGUGAAGAAUAUUUUUAGCAUGCAGUCACCGUGCAUGUGAGGGCGUGUGCACGGGGACGGCCGCGGCGCUGUGGUUUAUCAGCUGCCGCGAGCGCACGGAGAGCAUCGCGCUCCCCUCGUCCCCGGGAGGAGCUGCAGUCCACGAGAGGAAGGUGAGGAAGAUGCUGGUCGUGUGAGAAGGUGGAGGCUGGUCCAGAAAUGCCGUCUGAUGACAGCACGGGGGCAGGAGCCCACCCAGCAUCGCAUUCAUUGACAAGAAGCAGCGUGGUGCUGCUGGGACGAGCGGGACGGAGCCGCACGUGGCACGAGGAGCUCGUGCUGGUGCUGCUCAGCAAUGCCGCGCGCCCCCCGUUCGAAGGCACAGACCCUGCUGGUGAACCGCAGCCACCGCCUCCGCUGUGAACUUCUAUGAAAUUGGGAACGUGGCAUCCCAGGCGUUGUGUUUGGGGACUCACUGAAACCUAUUAAGGCUGUGGAGGAAGCACCUUUUGGAUAGAGGAUCCAAAGGACCCUCUCUGAGCAGAGCUGGAAAUGCCAAGUACAGCGAUGCCGAGCAGCCCAGGCACGGGACAGGAGUGCUAAUGGCUGUUUAACAUUCUGUUGGACAUCUGAUUCCGAUUUGGAGCCUAAUUAGCCUUGAUGAGGACUAAUAAGCAGCUUUCAACAUGUGCCCAGGAUUUGCCCUCCCGAUGCUCUCGGUGUGUCCUUGCAAGCGGCGCCUGGCUGAAAACAGACAUUGCCGCCCAAUUUGCCGGCCUUGUUGGGGCAGAAAAUGAACAUUUUGAAGGUGUCAUUUUUCUGUGGUGAGAAGAAAACUUUGAAAUUAGCCCUAAAUCAGCCAUUGCACUUUGAAACCAGGCUGCAGCUUGAACCAGACGACACCGGGAGAAGCCCACGGGGCCAGCCGGAUGGGGCGGUGGUCGAUGGCCAGUGAUCGAUGGUUGAUGGCCCAUGCUCGAUAGUCAAUGGUCCACGGUUGAUGGUCCAGUGUUGAUAAUCAAUGGCCAAUGGUUGAUGGUCGAUGGUUGGUGGUCACUGGGUGAUGGUUGACAGUCAAUGGCUGAUGGUUGACGGUCAAUGGUUGACGGUCAAUGGUUGACGGUCAAUGGUUGAUGGUCAAUGGUUGAUGGCCAAUAUCUGACGUUUGGUGAUGAACGGGUGAAGUUGGGUGGCUGAUGUUGGAUGUCCGAUGGCUGAUCCAGCAGCACGGCAGCACGGCUCUGCGGUAGCAGCAGCGCUUGCCUAGGUGGAGCUGCUUCUCUUCGGCAUCGCCCCGCGUCCUCCGGCAGCGCCGGGUCUCAUGGCGCAAACACCGCCUGGCUGCAGCUCCUGGGAGGGAUGGGCAGGAUCAGGAGGAAAGCAAAAAAAAAUCUGUGGGCUUUUGUUUGUUUUCCGUGCUCCCCCUUCAAGUGCUGUGCAAAAGGUACUAGCUCCUGGAGGCUGGGCUUUGGCAGUCCCUGCUGCGCCGCCGAAACCUCCGGAUACGCCCUGGGUGAGCCCGGAGCACGUCCCCACGCCCCGCUGGGGAGCGUGUCCCAGCCCCGGCUUUCUGGGGUUGUGGGAACACGCGUGACCAGCUCUCCCCCAACCUCAGAUGGGCUGCUGCAGCCCAGCCCUAGGGGCAGAGUGCUUUUUUUUUUUCAAGUUUCACAGCAAUUACGGGACUGCAGGUAAAUACCCAGACCUCAGGGCUGGGAAAAGUUGCCAAUUGCCGUGCCGUGAGACAGGUUCAGCCAGUGACAUUUGUUCUCCUCGGCCCGGCUGAAACAAGGACCAUGUUACAGCCCUAAAUAGUCGCUUCUGGGGGACAGGUGGGUCAGGGCAAACUUUAUUUUUCUGGAAACAGCAAGCACAUUGUGCAGGGAAGACUUUCCAAGGAUGCUCCCCACACCCUUUUCAGGAAAUACCACGCUGCUCUCCUUAUUGCCAUGCCAAUAAUUUUUUUGUUGUUUGUUUUUUAAUUGGCAUAAAUGAUAGUCUUGGCAGGGACACGCCGUGUUUUCCCUUGGCUGUUGGAUUUUAUUCUGAAAUCGCUUUUGUUUUGAUCUCGGCAUCUCUCCACCCCCCGGCUCGCCUCUCACCCCGCACGUUCGUGCUCCCGGUGCCCGCUCUGCCGCCACCACAUCUGCUGAACCCGGGCGUGAAAACACCGUGGGGGCCUCCCACAUCGGUCACAGCGGGUCCGGGGGGAUGUCACCCACCAGGGGACACGGCAGAGGAGUUGCAAUUUGCUUUGCAAAAGCCCCCGGGGCGAGGAGCGGGCGGCCGUCCCUGCCCGGUGACUCAGAUCCUUCUUGGCCACGUGGGCAGCGCUCGGAGAGCCCCGACGCCGCUGCGCGGGGGCCCAAUUUUAGCCCUGGGACAGACAUUUUAGCCCUUGGGGACAGACAUAAUAACAGCGAGAGACGUGUGGCUCCGGCCAGGGGAGGGGGGGACCCGAAAUAUCCUCCUCCGUGCGGCGAUGGCACGGCCCCUGCCCGGCGCCCGCGUAAACCAGCCUUGGCCAGACCUGCUAUUCCAGUGGGUGGGGUUGGCUUUGUCCUGGCUUUAUUACAAGCUCCCUCUUGGCACCAGUGCCAGCUCCUGUGCUGGGACGCUGCUCUGGGACGUGGUGGGGCUCGGCUGGGUGUCCCCAGGGGGGCUCGGAGCUGAGGACGCUCCCUGGGGACGCAGCAAGGGGCUGGAGCACCCCCCCCCCAAGCCCCGCUCGGGCAUCUCCUUCAUCCCCCUCAUUUCUUAAACAGCAAUAAAACCAAAAGCAAUCCGAGA